rnacentral:rRNA from 1 species
GAUGAACGCUGGCGGCGUGCCUAAUACAUGCAAGUCGAGCGAACAGAUGCUGAUCUUGCUCCUCUCACGUUAGCGGCGGACGGGUGAGUAACACGUGUAUAACCUACCUAUCAGACUGGGAUCACUUCGGGAAACCGGAUCUAAUACCGUAUAAUAUCUUGAACCGCAUUGUUCAAUAGUGAAAUACGGUUUUUCUGUCACUUAUAGAUGGAUCCGCGCCGCAUUAUCUAGUUGGUAAGUUAACGGCUUUCCAAGGCAACGAUGCGUAGACGACCUAAGAGGCUGGUAGCCCACCUGAGAACUUAGACAGGGACCAGGCGACUACGGGAGGCAGCAGAAGGGAACGUUACGCAAUGGGCGAAAACCUGACGGAGCAAGGCGGAGUGAGUGAUGAAGGUGCUGGGAUCGUAAAAACCUCCUACUGGGGAAAAACAAAUGUGGAAGUAAACAUGCCCGUAUUGACGGUAACUAAUAAGAAAGCAACGGCUAACUACGUG